GACGAACGCUGGCGGCGUGCUUAACACAUGCAAGUCGAACGAAGUGGCGAACGGGUGAGUAACGCGUAAUCAACCUGCCCUUCAGCGGGGGACAACAGUUGGAAACGACUGCUAAUACCACAUACUGAAGGCGGGGAUUGCGUCGGAUUAGCUAGUUGGAGGGGUAACGGCCCACCCAGGCGAUGAUCAGUAGCCUGUCUGAGAGGAUGAACGGCCACAUUGGGACUGAGACACGGCCCAGACGCCUACGGGAGGCAGCAGUGGGGAAUCGUCCGCAAUGGACGAAAGUCUGACGGAGCAACGCCGCGUGAGUGAGGACGGCCUUCGGGUUGUAAAGCUCUGUUAAUCGGGACGCGGUACCGGAAUAGAAAGCCACGGCUAACUACGUGCCAGCAGCCGCGGUAAUAC
rnacentral:rRNA from 1 species